rnacentral:rRNA from 1 species
UACGUAGGGGCCAAGCGUUGUCCGGAUUUAUUGGGCGUAAAGAGCUCGUAGGCGGUUCGGCAAGUCAGCUGUGAAAUCUCCACGCUCAACGUGGAGGGGUCAGCUGAUACUGCUGUGACUCGAGUCCGGUAGGGGAGUGUGGAAUUCCCGGUGUAGCGGUGAAAUGCGCAGAUAUCGGGAGGAACACCAGUAGCGAAGGCGGCUCACUGGCCCGAUACUGACGCUGAGGCACGAAAGCGUGGGGAGCAAACAGG